GAUGAACGCUGGCGGCGUGCCUAAUACAUGCAAGUCGAGCGAACAGACGAGGCGCUUGCUCCUCUGACGUUAGCGGCGGACGGGUGAGUAACACGUGGAUAACCUACCUAUAAGACUGGGAUAACUUCGGGAAACCGGAGCUAAUACCGGAUAAUAUAUUGAACCGCAUGGUUCAAUAGUGAAAGACGGUUUUGCUGUCACUAAUAGAUGGAUCCGCGCCGCAUUAGCUAGUUGGUAAGGUAACGGCUUACCAAGGCAACGAUGCGUAACCGACCUGAGAGGGUGAUCGGCCACACUGGAACUGAGACACGGUCCAGACUCCUACGGGAGGCAGCAGUAGGGAAUCUUCCGCAAUGGGCGAAAGCCUGACGGAGCAACGCCGCGUGAGUGAUGAAGGUCUUCGGAUCGUAAAACUCUGUUAUUAGGGAAGAACAAAUGUGUAAGUAACUAUGCACGUCUUGACGGUACCUAAUCAGAAAGCCACGGCUAACUACGUG
rnacentral:rRNA from 1 species